rnacentral:rRNA from 1 species
AGAGUUUGAUCAUGGCUCAGAUUGAACGCUGGCGGUAUGCUUAACACAUGCAAGUCGAACGGUAGCCACUUCGGUGGUGAGAGUGGCGGACGGGUGAGUAACGCGUAGGAAUCUGCCCUGUAGUGGGGGACAACGUGGGGAAACCCACGCUAAUACCGCAUACGCGGGGGGAAAGCGGGGGACCGCAAGGCCUCGCGCUAUAGGAUGAGCCUGCGUUGGAUUAGCUUGUUGGUAGGGUAAAGGCCUACCAAGGCGACGAUCCAUAGCUGGUCUGAGAGGACGAUCAGCCACACUGGGACUGAGACACGGCCCAGACUCCUACGGGAGGCAGCAGUGGGGAAUAUUGGACAAUGGGCGCAAGCCUGAUCCAGCAAUACCGCGUGUGUGAAGAAGGCCUGAGGGUUGUAAAGCACUUUCGAUGGGGAGGAAAAAGGCAGGCCCAAUACGCCUGCCCUUGACAUUACCCAUAGAAGAAGCACCGGCUAACUCCGUGCCAGCAGCCGCGGUAAUACGGAGGGUGCGAGCGUUAAUCGGAAUUACUGGGCGUAAAGCGUGCGUAGGCGGCCUGUUAAGUCAGAUGUGAAAGCCCUGGGCUCAACCUGGGAACGGCAUUUGAAACUGGCAGGCUAGAGUUGGGUAGAGGGGAGCGGAAUUCCGGGUGUAGCGGUGAAAUGCGUAGAUAUCCGGAGGAACACCAGUGGCGAAGGCGGCUCCCUGGACCCAAACUGACGCUGAGGUACGAAAGCGUGGGUAGCAAACAGGAUUAGAUACCCUGGUAGUCCACGCCGUAAACGAUGUCGACUAGCCGUUGGCCCCUAUUGGGGGUUAGUGGCGCAGCUAACGCAUUAAGUCGACCGCCUGGGGAGUACGGCCGCAAGGUUAAAACUCAAAUGAAUUGACGGGGGCCCGCACAAGCGGUGGAGCAUGUGGUUUAAUUCGAUGCAACGCGAAGAACCUUACCUACCCUUGACAUCCUCAGAAUUUGUCAGAGAUGACUUAGUGCCUUCGGGAACUGAGAGACAGGUGCUGCAUGGCUGUCGUCAGCUCGUGUUGUGAAAUGUUGGGUUAAGUCCCGUAACGAGCGCAACCCUUAUCCUUAGUUGCCAGCGGGUUAUGCCGGGAACUCUAGGGAGACUGCCGGUGAUAAACCGGAGGAAGGUGGGGACGACGUCAAGUCAUCAUGGCCCUUAUGGGUAGGGCUACACACGUGCUACAAUGGCCGGUACAGAGGGCUGCGAACUUGCAAAAGUAAGCCAAUCCCACAAAGCCGGUCCCAGUCCGGAUCGGAGUCUGCAACUCGACUCCGUGAAGUCGGAAUCGCUAGUAAUCGCGGAUCAGAAUGCCGCGGUGAAUACGUUCCCGGGCCUUGUACACACCGCCCGUCACACCAUGGGAGUGGGUUGCAAAAGAAGUGGGUAGUCUAACCUUCGGGGGGGCGCUCACCACUUUGUGAUUCAUGACUGGGGUGAAGUCGUAACAAGGUA